GAGCUCACUUUGACAGCAUAUAUACUAAAAUUAGAACAAUGCAGAGAAAAUUAGCAUGGCCACUGCACAAGGAUGGCACACAAAUCCGGAAAGCAUUCCAUAUUUUU